rnacentral:rRNA from 1 species
UGGGGAAUAUUGCACAAUGGGCGCAAGCCUGAUGCAGCCAUGCCGCGUGUAUGAAGAAGGCCUUCGGGUUGUAAAGUACUUUCAGCGGGGAGGAAGGGAGUAAAGUUAAUACCUUUGCUCAUUGACGUUCCCCGCAGAAGAAGCACCGGCUAACUCCGUGCCAGCCGCCGCGGUAAUACGGAGGGUGCAAGCGUUAAUCGGAAUUACUGGGCGUAAAGCGCACGCAGGCGGUUUGUUAAGUCAGAUGUGAAAUCCCCGGGCUCAACCUGGGAACUGCAUCUGAUACUGGCAAGCUUGAGUCUCGUAGAGGGGGGUAGAAUUCCAGGUGUAGCGGUGAAAUGCGUAGAGAUCUGGAUGAAGACCGGUUGUGAAGGCGGCCCCCUGGACGAAGACUGACGCUUAGGUGCGAAAGCGUGGGGAGCAAACAGG